CUACGUGCCAGCAGCCGCGGUAAUACGGAAGGUCCGGGCGUUAUCCGGAUUUAUUGGGUUUAAAGGGAGCGUAGGCCGGAGAUUAAGUGUGUUGUGAAAUGUAGACGCUCAACGUCUGACUUGCAGCGCAUACUGGUUUCCUUGAGUACGCACAACGUUGGUGGAAUUCGUCGUGUAGCGGUGAAAUGCUUAGAUAUGACGAAGAACUCCGAUUGCGAAGGCAGCUGACGGGAGCGCAACUGACGCUUAAGCUCGAAGGUGCGGGUAUCGAACAGGAUUAGAUACCCUGGUAGUCCGCACAGUAAACGAUGGAUGCCCGCUGUUGGUACCUGGUAUCAGCGGCUAAGCGAAAGCAUUAAGCAUCCCACCUGGGGAGUACGCCGGCAACGGUGAAACUCAAAGGAAUUGACGGGGGCCCGCACAAGCGGAGGAACAUGUGGUUUAAUUCGAUGAUACGCGAGGAACCUUACCCGGGCUUGA
rnacentral:rRNA from 1 species